AUACGUAGGUGGCGAGCGUUGUCCGGAAUUACUGGGCGUAAAGGGUGCGCAGGCGGACAUUUAAGUGAGAUGUGAAAUACCCGGGCUUAACCCGGGCAGUGCAUUUCAAACUGGGUGUCUGGAGUGCAGGAGAGGAGAACGGAAUUCCUAGUGUAGCGGUGAAAUGCGUAGGGAUUAGGAAGAACACCAGUGGCGAAGGCGGUUCUCUGGACUGUAACUGACGCUGAGGCACGAAAGCGUGGGGAGCGAACAGGAUUAGAUACCCUGGUAGUCCACGCUGUAAACGAUGAGUAUUAGGUGUAGGGGACGAUAGUCUUCUGUGCCGGAGCAAACGCAAUAAAUACUCCGCCUGGGGAGUACGGUCACAAGACUAAA
rnacentral:rRNA from 1 species